ANAGUUUGAUGCUGGCUCAGAUUGAACGCUGGCGGCAUGCCUAACACAUGCAAGUCGAACGGUAACGCGAAGAGCUUGCUCUUUGGCGACGAGUGGCGGACGGGUGAGUAAUGCUUAGGAAUCUGCCCAGUAGUGGGGGACAACUCGGGGAAACUCGAGCUAAUACCGCAUACGCCCUACGGGGGAAAGCGGGGGAUCUUCGGACCUCGCGCUAUUGGAUGAGCCUAGGUCGGAUUAGCUUGUUGGUGAGGUAAAGGCUCACCAAGGCGACGAUCCGUAGCUGGUCUGAGAGGACGAUCAGCCACACUGGGACUGAGACACGGCCCAGACUCCUACGGGAGGCAGUAGUGGGGAAUAUUGGACAAUGGGCGCAAGCCUGAUCCAGCAAUGCCGCGUGUGUGAAGAAGGCCUGCGGGUUGUAAAGCACUUUCAGUAGAGAAGAAAAGCUUAAGCUUAAUAAGCUUGAGUCUUGACGUAACCUACAGAAGAAGCACCGGCUAACUCCGUGCCAGCAGCCGCGGUAAUACGGAGGGGGCUAGCGUUGUUCGGAAUUACUGGGCGUAAAGCGCGCGUAGGCGGGCUGGAAAGUUGGGGGUGAAAUCCCGGGGCUCAACCCCGGAACUGCCUCCAAAACUCCCAGUCUUGAGGUCGAGAGAGGUGAGUGGAAUACCGAGUGUAGAGGUGAAAUUCGUAGAUAUUCGGUGGAACACCAGUGGCGAAGGCGGCUCACUGGCUCGAUUCUGACGCUGAGGUGCGAAAGCGUGGGGAGCAAACAGG
rnacentral:rRNA from 1 species